AUUGAACGCUGGCGGCAGGCCUAACACAUGCAAGUCGCACGAGUGGCGGACGGGUGCGUAAUGUCUGGGAAACUGCCUGAUGGCGGGGGAUAACUACUGGACACGGUAGCUAAUACCGCAUACCAUCGGAUGUGCCCAGAUGGGAUUAGCUAGUAGGUGGGGUAAAGGCUCACCUAGGCGACGAUCCCUAGCUGGUCUGAGAGGAUGACCAGACACACUGGAACUGAGACACGGUUCAGACUCAUACGGGAGGCAGCAGUGGGGAAUAUUGCACAAUGGGCGCAAGCCUGAUGCAGCCAUGCCGCGUGUAUGAAGAAGGCCUUCGGGUUGUAAAGGACUUGCAGCGGGGAGGCGUUACCCGCAGAAGAAGCACCGGCUAACUCCGUGCCAGCCGCCGCGGUAAUAC
rnacentral:rRNA from 1 species